AACGAACGCUGGCGGCGCGUCUUAAGCAUGCAAGUCGAACGGCAAGAGAGGAGCUUGCUUCUCUCCUAGAGUGGCGGACUGGUGAGGAACACGUGGGUAAUCUACCCUUAAGAUGGGGAUAGCUGCUAGAAAUAGCAGGUAAUACCGAAUACACUCGGCAUAUCACAAGAGAUGUUGAGGAAAGGCAGCUACGGCUUCGCUUGAGGAUGAGCUUGCGUCCCAUUAGCUAGUUGGUGAGGUAAAGGCCCACCAAGGCGACGAUGGGUAUCCGGCCUGAGAGGGUGAACGGACACAUUGGGACUGAGAUACGGCCCAAACUCCUACGGGAGGCAGCAGCUAAGAAUAUUCCGCAAUGGGCGGAAGUCUGACGGAGCGACGCCGCGUGGAUGAAGAAGGCUGAAAAGUUGUAAAAUCCUUUUGUUGAUGAAGAAUAAGGGUGAGAGGGAAUGCUCAUCUGAUGACGGUAAUCGACGAAUAAGCCCCGGCUAAUUACGUGCCAGCAGCCGCGGUAACACGUAAGGGGCGAGCGUUGUUCGGAAUUAUUGGGCGUAAAGGGCAUGUAGGCGGCUAUGUAAGCCUGAUGUGAAAUCCUGGGGCUUAACCCUAGAAUAGCAUUGGGUACUGUAUAGCUUGAAUUACGGAAGGGAAACCGGAAUUCCAAGUGUAGGGGUGGAAUCUGUAGAUAUUUGGAAGAACACUGGUGGCGAAGGCGGGUUUCUGGCCGAUAAUUGACGCUGAGAUGCGAAAGUGUGGGGAUCGAACAG
rnacentral:rRNA from 1 species